UUACUGGUUUGAUUUUCCAAUGAAGCCAACAUCUGAAACAAAAUUGACUGUGCUUUGUUCUUUAAACAGUGUAUACCAAUAUUAAAAUCAGACAUGGUGAAAAGUGUUUUUCUCUGAACAGUUUUUGGAGACUUUUUUGGAUUUGGCAUAUGAGAAGUGGAUGUGAUUGUCAUUGCUGGAAAAACAAGUGUAUACCAAUAUUAAAAUCAGACAUGGUGAAAAGUGUUUUUCUCUGAACAGUUUUUGGAGACUUUUUUGGAUUUGGCAUAUGAGAAGUGGAUGUGAUUGUCAUUGCUGGAAAAACAAGUGUAUACCAAUAUUAAAAUCAGACAUGGUGAAAAGUGUUUUUCUCUGAACAGUUUUUGGAGACUUUUUUGGAUUUGGCAUAUGAGAAGUGGAUGUGAUUGUCAUUGCUGGAAAAACAAGUGUAUACCAAUAUUAAAAUCAGACAUGGUGAAAAGUGUUUUUCUCUGAACAGUUUUUGGAGACUUUUUUGGAUUUGGCAUAUGAGAAGUGGAUGUGAUUGUCA